UGCCUUACCCAUGCAAGUCGAACGGCAGCACGGGGGCAACCCUGGUGGCGAGUGGCGAACGGGUGAGUAAUACAUCGGAACGUGCCCAGUAGUGGGGGAUAGCCCGGCGAAAGCCGGAUUAAUACCGCAUACGACCUACGGGUGAAAGCGGGGGAUCGCAAGACCUCGCGUUAUUGGAGCGGCCGAUGUCAGAUUAGGUUGUUGGUGGGGUAAAAGCCCACCAAGCCGACGAUCUGUAGCUGGUCUGAGAGGACGACCAGCCACACUGGGACUGAGACACGGCCCAGACUCCUACGGGAGGCAGCAGUGGGGAAUUUUGGACAAUGGGGGCAACCCUGAUCCAGCCAUGCCGCGUGCGGGAAGAAGGCCUUCGGGUUGUAAACCGC
rnacentral:rRNA from 1 species